CCUACGGGGAGCAGCAGUAGGGAAUAUUGCUCAAUGGGGGAAACCCUGAAGCAGCAACGCCGCGUGGAGGAUGAAGGCUCUCGGAUUGUAAACUUCUUUUGUUAGAGAAGAUAAUGACGGUAUCUAACGAAUAAGCAACGGAUCACUCCGUGCCAGCAGCCGCGGUAAUACGGAGGGUGCAAGCGUUACUCGGAAUCAUUGGGUGUAAAGAGGGUGUAGGCGGGAUAGCAAGUCAGAUGUGAAAUCCUAUGGCUUAACCAUAGAACUGCAGUUGAAACUGUUAUUCUAGAGUAUGGGAGAGGUAGGUGGAAUUCUUGGUGUAGGGGUAAAAUCCGUAGAUAUCAAGAGGAAUACUCAUUGCGAAGGCGACCUGCUAGAACGUAACUGACGCUGAUGCGCGAAAGCGUGGGGAGCAAACAGGAUUAGAUACCCCUGUAGUC
rnacentral:rRNA from 1 species